GACGAACGCUGGCGGCGUGCUUAACACAUGCAAGUCGAACGGAAAGGCCCUGCUUUUGUGGGGUGCUCGAGUGGCGAACGGGUGAGUAACACGUGAGUAACCUGCCCUUGACUUUGGGAUAACUUCAGGAAACUGGGGCUAAUACCGGAUAGGAGCUCCUGCUGCAUGGUGGGGGUUGGAAAGUUUCGGCGGUUGGGGAUGGACUCGCGGCUUAUCAGCUUGUUGGUGGGGUAAUGGCUUACCAAGGCUUUGACGGGUAGCCGGCAUGGGAGGGUGACCGGCCACAUUGGGACUAAGAUACGGCCCAGACUCCAACGGGAGGCAGCGGUGGGGAAUAUUGCACAGUGGGCGGGAGCCUGAUGCAGCAACGCCGCGUGCGGGAUGACGGCCUUCGGGUUAUAAACCGCUUUCGCCUGUGACGAAGCGUGAGUGACGGUAAUGGGUAAAGAAGCACCGGCUAACUACGUG
rnacentral:rRNA from 1 species